UCAGUUUAGAUGGAGUUCCCUAAAAUCCAAUUCUAAAAGGAGAUGAUGGUAGUCCUCUGCUGCUAGUUCAUGAAUACCUCUGACUUUGUAACAAUUUUCUUAAAGUUCAAAGGUCAAAGGUUUGCAUGAAUUGGGAGAUGAGAAUACCUUGAUUUUUUCGUAUUGGAUUGAAGGGAGCUCCAUAUGGAUAGAAC
rfam:Medicago truncatula strain A17 chromosome 8, whole genome shotgun sequence.